rnacentral:lncRNA from 1 species
GAGAGAAAUCACAAGUAGAUGGAGAGGCAGGCAGAGAGGGGGAGAGAGGGAAGCAGGCUCCCUGCUGAGCAGAGAGCCCCAUGUGGGACUCGAUCCCAGGACCCUGAGAUCAUGACCUGAGCCGAAGGCAGCGGCUUAACCCACUGAGCCACCCAGGCACCCUAAUUGUGAAGAACCCCAAACACCAAGAGAUUAAAGAAGAACAAGUUAUGAUCCAAAUCAAGUCUGAUACUUCUUUGAAUGGAUUGCUUCCCCUGUCAGUAUCUCAAUAAAGAACCCUACUUCUUUCAAAAAUCAGCAAAUAGAAAUGCUAUGAAGAAACAAAUUGGGAGAAAUCGUCAUUCUUAGAGAAAAGGCAAACAUUCCUUAGCGCCUGGACCAGCCCAGCAAACGCACUCCUUCAGUCCCAGUGGAAAAUCCACAGUGUUCACAAGGCCUCAAAGUCUGACUUUCUGUCUCACCGACUUAUGAGACUGCUGGAUGUUCUGAUCAACACCUGCUACCUGUGAACUGGUAAGUCCCUCAAGGGACAAAUUGUCCCAGAAUUUCUCUGUGCUCCUCUUUUCUUUAGGAUCCUGGGCCUGUUAAGUCAUGAUUUUUGAAAUAUUUUUAUCUCGGCAAUUGGUGGUUCUCAAUAGUGGAAUUAGUACAUAAAACCUAGUUUGUCAUAAUCUAAAGUGGAAACAAGCUCUGACUCAUUUAAUGUGUAUUUGAAAAAAAUAACCAGCACAUAAAACAUGUGAAAUGUUAGACAAUUUUUUUAUUUAAAAAG